GUGGCGGUGGGGACGGCGUGAGGGGAGCGCUGCGGGGACCGGAGCGGGGGAGAGGCGGCGCUCCUGAGAAAGGCGUUUGCUUGGGAAUAAGGAAGGUUUGGACCCCGGCGCAUGCUGGGGGUUUCGUUCACGCCUCAGGUUUUAGGCUUCUCCGCUCUGGGAGCGGCUGACGGGAUCCUUGUGGCCCCGCGGGCUCUCCCUGGGCAGGGCAUUUGUUUGGGAAUAAGGAAUGGAUGUACCCCGGGAGGCGAUGAACCCGUCCCUCGGGAUGUCCCGGUGGGUUUGUUCGUUCGGUGCACUCUGAGCCCGAGCUCUCCACGCUCUCCCGCAUCCUCGGAGGGAGUCAGAUAAAGCUUGGAGUCUGGAAGGGGCCUGGUGGGAGGAAGGCGGAGGCUGCCGAGGUCAGCGGCUGUGCCGGGUGUCGGUGCCAGCCCGCCGGGACAGUCGGGUGUCUGUCACCAGAGGAUCAUUGACCGCUGUGCCUCAGGAAAGGGAUUUGAGCUCAGUGUCCCAAAUAGGAGCCCCUCACUCGUGCCUUUGGCGACUAAAGCUGCCAUAGCCGCGGUUCAGGAGCAGACUGAAAUUUCCCCAAAUUCUGGUGCCAGCAGAAAGCGUCGUGGAAAGGCGCAGGGGUUUCCAGGAGUGUUCGCAGUGCCGCGCUCCUGCUCUGGUCAGUCGCCGCUCGGGUCCCCUGGUUGCCGCGGGGAGAACAGAGUGGCUGUCACAUUACACCGACCCUGGCAGAUGGCAGCCGGAUGAAAUUGCUCUGAGAAGUUCUGUACACGAUAUGUCAGUAGGCAAACAAGGUUUUAAGUUUAGAAUUUUUUUGCUCCACAAAGCAUUUUCGUUUGAGCUGCCAGUGAUGAGCCUCAGAAUAAGCUCCUAGCACUUGGGCUAUCUCUUCCUUUGUUUCUUUUGAAAAUGUAAACCAGGCCGACUGCAGUUCAGUGUUCAUGUCAACAGCAGCAAAGAAUAGAUUUCCUGUAUCCAGACAACUCUGCUUUUUCCUCAGAUGUUUCAAGUUCCACCACUGUGAGAGUGUGUCCUCAACCUGUAUUUCUGGGCCUGAUGGGGAAAAUGGCAUCUGCAUUGAAGGAAGAACAUUUCACAGCAUGUAUUUCAGCAGUAGUCGAUUCACAUCCAGUCCCAGACUGAAAUCCAGAAGUUCCAGUGAUUUAGACUGCCCGGGAGUGCUGACAGCCCAUCUUGCAUUACAAAUCCACAGGAGCUCUAAGAGUGAAAGUCUGAGCUAA
rnacentral:lncRNA from 1 species